UACAGAGGGUGCAAGCGUUGUUCGGAAUUAUUGGGCGUAAAGCGCGUGUAGGCGGCUUGGCAAGUCAGAUGUGAAAGCCCAUGGCUCAACCAUGGAAGUGCGUCUGAAACUGCCGAGCUUGAGUACCGGAGAGGAUGGCGGAAUUCCGCAAGUAGAGGUGAAAUUCGUAGAUAUGCGGAGGAACACCGGUGGCGAAGGCGGCCAUCUGGACGGUCACUGACGCUGAGACGCGAAAGCGUGGGUAGCAAACAGG
rnacentral:rRNA from 1 species